GAAAUGCGAUAAGUAGUGUGAAUUGCAGAAUUCAGUGAAUCAUUGAAUCUUUAAACGCACAUUGCGCCCUUUGGUAUUCCUUAGGGCAUGCCUGUUCAAGCGUUAUCUAAACCUUCAAGCACUGCUUGGUGUUGGGUGCCUGUCCCGCCCCCGCGCGUGGACUCACCUUAAAUCUAUUGGCGGCCCUUACGUCGGCUUCGAGCGCAGCAGAAACGCGAACUCGAGGCCCGGCGGAGCGGCUCCUAGAAGCUACUUUCACCAUUUUAACCUUGGAUCAGGUAGGGAUACCCGCUGAACUUAA
rnacentral:misc_RNA from 1 species